rnacentral:misc_RNA from 1 species
CCACUGCCUCUCGCCGCUCCAACGGCACCGUCAACCGUCGUCUCUUCAACCUCUUCAACCGGAAACUUCCCCCAAACCCCACCGUCGUUAACGGUGUGUCCUCCUUCGACGUCACUGUGGACCCCACCCGCAACCUCUCCUUCCGCCUACCCAUUCGUUCAUUCGCCGCCGUCCCCACCGCCUCCCUUCCCGUCAUUGUUUACUUC